rnacentral:sRNA from 1 species
AACAUAUGAUUUAUAAAUUCUACAAAAGUCUCUUAAAAUUUCACUUGCAAUACACCUCAGAUUUUACGAUCACUUGUGAUUUCAGAUAUGCUUUAGAAAUGUGAAUUCUAGUAUGCUUAGACUUGCUCAAAUAUGCUUAGAUCUGCUUAGGUUUUACUU